UUCUAUUUUUCACAAACUCACGCCUUACCUCCUGAUCUUCAUAUAAUUCUAUUUCUUUCUUCAAUAUUUCACUUCAAAACCCUGUCCCGUUUUAAGUACUGUAGCCCCUGAUCACUGAUACCCUGUCCGACUGACGUAGGGCCACGUAACGUAUGUCAAGGCUCUGCCUAAAUUCGUUGGGGUUCUGUCUCGUGACGUAGGGAUAAGUUAGAAUUGGGUUACUAUACUUAAUGUUAGUGCACUAUAUAUUUUAUUAAAUAACCCAGGAGUUAUAUUUAAGUUGAGGCGGGCUGCGUAAGGUACCCUAUAACCCUUACGCGGGCUGCGAGAGGCUAAAAAGGUGGCGCAGCCGGGUGCGGCCACGUGGCCCAACACCCGGCAAACCUACUCGAUGACUCAGCCCAGCUACGCGUUGACUAGAGUUGACGCAGCCGCGUAAGGCCUUGCCUUAUUUUACGCGGGCCGCGAGAAAACCCAGGAGAAGUACUAUAUAAGCAGGCCAUCGGAUCUUCAUUCGAAUUCGUUCAAAAUCAUUUUCUUUCUCUCAAUUUUAAAGUGUAGGCAUUAUACACGGGUAUAAUACCCCCCUAAUUAGCUAAGCUCUGCCUCAUUGUAAGUAUCAUAACCCCUGGAUACGUAUUAGAUACUCUGCCCGAUUGAUCUAGGGUUCCGCAACGGCUGUCGUGGUUCUGUCGGCCGUAGUCUUUGGAAUGCCGUCUCGGGGAGGGGAAUCACAAAGGAAAGCCCUAUAAUAGCAAUGUGAGUUAUCCUCCUUUUGUAAACGUAUUUUGUGAAUUGUUUUACAAAACCUUAAAUAUCUUUCCAUGCGAAUAGCAGUUAUUGAGUAUUUGUAAGAAUACGAUUACAGUCGGUAAAUUUGGGGUUUUGUAUACAAAAUUUGUUACCACCUAGUAAAGGAGUAACAUGAUCAUAAGUCGGAAUGACAUUACCGUGUGGUGGUAAUUGAUAUAACUUGGAAACAAAUAUAAUUGCGGAUGCGCCCUCAAUACUGUACACUGUGACUUUUUACUUAAACUUGAUUAAACUGGGAUUCACUCACCAGUAUUUCCUGCUGAUAAAAUGUUUUAAAAUGUGGCAAUAAAAGUGGCAAUAAAAGCCAGCUGGAGAGCACUGAAGGCUUGGAAAAGUGGCAAUAAAGUUACCUAAAAUAAAAUAGAUGUUUUUAUUAAACAACAUAGGAUUUAUUCCUAUGAAAAUGCGUGUACUAAAAACUUGGGUUUUACCCAUGUGUUUAAUGUUAUAAAAUGUGGUGGUUUACUCUGAUAAAAUAUUUCCUAACUACGGUCCUGAUGAAAAUUUCCGCUGCCAAAUUAGACAAUACCCGAUACCACCGAAAUUGGUUCACGGCCGCCCGUUCCUGUGUUUGUAUAAGGGAUCGGGGGUUGUGACAGGUCAAUCCCAAAUAACUGGGGUCAAGCCCAAAUAACUGGAGACUUCUAUGGAUACUCAAUCCUUUAUUAAGGAUACAUGAACCUUCUGCAAAACUCAGAAUCAAGUAAAAGGAGGAUAAAGGAUCCAGGAUCCUUUUCCUUGUAUAUAGGUGUUAGGGCUGGAUUUUUAUACCACAUGAUCCUUGCAUAUGAUCCUAACCAGUGAUCCUUAUCUCUUUGGCAGAUAGUGAUCCUCAGCGGAGUUCCAGGAUCAGGAUCACGGACCAUCAUAGGAUCCUCGUGCUAACAGUUGCUUUCAUUGAACUUAAUGUCAUUUUGCAGGAAUGUCUAGCAGGAUCCGCUCUUAGCAUCACAAUCAAGGGACGCGUCUUUACAACUUUGGCAUAUGCUUAAUCAGAGAUGAACGUUGUGAAGGAUAUGGAAACUUGGCAUGAUUUAAGGGCGAUAAUUUAGGCUAGAUUUACUUUUAUUUCUAAAGGGGUAAUGAGCUGAUUAUUAGUCUUUUUACCUAAAAUAGGCCACCUACACUUGUAUAUAUAACACUCUUCCCCAUUCGGAAGACACACAACACAAUUCUCACACGCUUAGACACUCGAAACUAUAGUGAUCCUUGUACUCAGCUCAUUAUCAUCCGAAGUUGUAACCAUUUU
rnacentral:lncRNA from 1 species